rnacentral:tRNA from 1 species
GCGGAUGUAGUUUAGUGGUAGAACUUCAGCUUCCCAAGCUGACCGUGUGGGUUCGAUUCCCAUCAUCCGCUCCA